ensembl:lncRNA
CUCCCCAGCAGGUGGCCCCGGGCAACACGGCGUCCAGCGGGGCCGCCAGAAGCUGUCGGAGACGGAGGGAAGGCGGCUCAAACCCUCGGCCUCGCGGUGAGCAAACAGUGUCCCUGCGCCCCCGCCCGCCCGCGCUGCCCCACCCGCGGCCGCGUGCCCCAGCGGCUGACUGGGUGCUCGCCGCCCCACCCGGGCCCCUGGACGCGCUCCAGGCCCAGACGUCGGCGCGGCCUGCUGCCCCAGGGGACCCCCCACCCCGGGCACCCGGCCCGGAGCUGCCGCGUGUGGGGGCCGGGCCGCCGCCCUCCACCUGCUGCCCGCCGGGCCGCGGAACCGAGUGGUGUCAGCGGCGCGGGCCUGCUCCGCCCCGAGCUCAAGGUCUCCUGCAAGCCCGGGCCUGCGGAGGCGGGAGGCCCUCUCGGUCCCACGGACGGUCCCAGCAGGCCAAGUCAGCUCCCCUCCGGGCCGGCUCCUGACUCCCCGAGCUGACUUUACCCGCCCCGCCCCCUUUUGUUGACCUUAAAGUCAUUUAUCAGACACUCAGGCACUUGUCAGUACAGGCCCCAAAGCUUCGUAGGGCAGAAUCAAGGAGGCGAAAGGCUGGAAAGAUGGAGACUGCAAACAACAGACACGGAGGGAAAAAUGAAAGAAAUCUGGAGAAAGGAAAGAAGCGGCUGUGGCCAGCUGAAAAUGAAUCCUCACAUUUCAUGCAUCCAGCAGUUGAAGAACUAACAGGUGGUUCAUCAGUCAGUAAAAUUUUCCUACAACGGACUCUGGUUGCAGCGGAUGACCUUCCCCCACACUCAAGUUCAUGUGCUGAUAAGUCUUUCUUUAUAAGAGUACUCCCACUUGGCUACCAACCUGUCUGUACUUCGGUUUUCCCUUCUGGAUAAUAGCAACGCCUACCUCAUGAAGUUGUUGUGAAGGUUAAAUGAGAUAAUAUAUGUAAUGUGCUUGGAAUAGUUCGGGGACUGGUGGAUGUACAAAUAUAUUAGCUUAUAUUAUUUCACAUCACAUACUGCAGUUUCAAGUUAUAACUUCAUACCCAGACCUUGGAUUUUGCCUUGUGUGGUACCUAGACUCCAUGUUAACCUCAGUGAUCCAUCCCCACCUCCUCUAACGUCACUUCUGAGAUUAGGUUAUAAAAGACGUGAGCACAUGCCUGGCUGGGCAUCCGGCACUGGUCUUUGAGGCACGACUGUGAGAACACCAGCCUCAAAUUUGUAGUGCACGUUCUGGCCCACCAGCAGCCUGGGUGACUGCUAAGUGUUCUCCACGCAAGCAGUGGGCAGAGCCGCUAACCCUGUGAACAAGAUGGGAGAUGCUGAAGCAGGCAAGAAGAUCUUUAUUUAAAAAUGUGGGGGCACCUGGGUGGCUCAGUCGGUUAAAUGUGCGCCUUCCACUCAGUGGUGAUCAGGGUUCUGGGAUCCAGCCCCACAUGGAGCUCCCUGCUCAGUGAGGAGUCUGCUUCUUCUCUCUCUCCGCCUGCCGCUCCCUCUGCUUGUGCUCUCUCUCUCUCAAAUAAAUAAAUAAAAUCUUCUUCUUUUUUUUUUUUU